GGAGGAAUGCCCGAGUGGCCAAAGGGAGCAGACUGUAAAUCUGCCGGCGGACGCCUACGUAGGUUCAAAUCCUACUUCCUCCACCA
rnacentral:tRNA from 1 species